rnacentral:rRNA from 1 species
GAACUGCCGGUAUAACCGGAGGAAGUGGGAUGACGUCAAAUCAUCAUGCCCCUUAUGACCUGGGCUACACACGUGCUACAAUGGUUGGUACAACGAGUUGCGAGUCGGUGACGGCGAGCUAAUCUCUUAAAGCCAAUCUCAGUUCGGAUUGUAGGCUGCAACUCGCCUACAUGAAGUCGGAAUCGCUAGUAAUCGCGGAUCAGCACGCCGCGGUGAAUACGUUCCCGGGCCUU